rnacentral:ribozyme from 1 species
UCAAUUUGAAAGAAACAAAAAAAAAAAACAAAAAAGAUCUGACAUUUGAUUUUGCUAUUGCUGCUUUCCUUUCUACAAUUUUCGGAUCGAUUUU